rnacentral:rRNA from 1 species
AACGAACGCUGGCGGCAUGCCUAACACAUGCAAGUCGAACGAUUGCCUUCGGGUGAUAGUGGCGCACGGGUGCGUAACGCGUGGGAAUCUGCCCUUAGGUUCGGAAUAACAGCUGGAAACGGCUGCUAAUACCGGAUGAUAUCGCGAGAUCAAAGAUUUAUCGCCUGAGGAUGAGCCCGCGUUGGAUUAGGUAGUUGGUGGGGUAAAGGCCUACCAAGCCGACGAUCCAUAGCUGGUCUGAGAGGAUGAUCAGCCACACUGGGACUGAGACACGGCCCAGACUCCUACGGGAGGCAGCAGUGGGGAAUAUUGGACAGUGGGCGCAAGCCUGAUGCAGCAAGGCCGCGUGAGUGAUGAAGGCCCUAGGGUUGUAAAGCUCUUUUACCCGGGAAGAUAAUGACUGUACCGGGAGAAUAAGCCCCGGCUAACUCCGUG